AACGACUCUCGGCAACGGAUAUCUCGGCUCUCGCAUCGAUGAAGAACGUAGCGAAAUGCGAUACUUGGUGUGAAUUGCAGAAUCCCGUGAACCAUCGAGUCUUUGAACGCAAGUUGCGCCCGAAGCCACUAGGCUGAGGGCACGUCUGCCUGGGCGUCACGC
rnacentral:rRNA from 1 species